UACGAAGGGUGCAAGCGUUGUUCGGAAUAACUGGGCGUAAAGGGCGCGUAGGCGGGUUGGUAAGUUAGAUGUGAAAUCCCCGGGCUUAACCCGGGAACUGCAUCUAAUACUGCUAAUCUUGAAUGUUUGAGAGGGUGGUGGAAUUCCCGGUGUAGAAGUGAAAUUCGUAGAUAUCGGGAGGAACAUCUGAGGCGAAGGCGGCCACCUGGCGAAACAUUGACGCUGAGGCGCGAAAGCGUGGGGAUCAAACAGGAUUAGAUACCCUGGUAGUCCACGCCGUAAACGAUGGAUGCUAGAUGUUCGGAGAGUUAACCCUCUGAGUAUCGAAGCUAACGCAUUAAGCAUCCCGCCUGGGAAGUACAGUCGCAAGGCUG
rnacentral:rRNA from 1 species